UACGAAGGGGGCUAGCGUUGUUCGGAAUUACUGGGCGUAAAGCGCACGUAGGCGGACAUUUAAGUCAGGGGUGAAAUCCCGGGGCUCAACCCCGGAACUGCCUUUGAUACUGGGUGUCUAGAGUAUGGAAGAGGUGAGUGGAAUUCCGAGUGUAGAGGUGAAAUUCGUAGAUAUUCGCAAGAACACCAGUGGCGAAGGCGGCUAACUGGUCCGGUUCUGACGCUGAGGCGCGAAAGCGUGGGGAGCAAACAGG
rnacentral:rRNA from 1 species